AAGGGCGUCCAAUGUGAUGGAUUCUUGUCCGAACGUGAGGUCAGCGACGGUUGGUGGGUGGGAGGGGUUGGGUUCAGGGUUGUCAUUGGUUACAGAAGAUGAGAAUCUAGUGCUUCUUCGAGUGACUUUCGAACUCUCCUCUCUCGUCAUGUGUUUUUUACCUGUGUCGAAAAGACAGAACGUGAGCAAACUGAUAACAAAUUCUAAAUCCAAUGUACUAAAGAUAAAAGAAAGUCCAUGCCCAAAAUUGAAUUCGAAUUCGUACCGUUUAGUAACGAGCGGAUUAGUGGGUGUGUCCUCUGUAGACGAAUUGAGAAAGAGACGAGAAGAAGAAGGUGAGGGCUUUUAGGGUUUCUUUUCGAGAGAAAACAGAAAAGUAUCCCCCGACUUGAGCGAAGAAGAAGAAGAAGAAGAAGAAGAAACAGUGAGAAACCUACCAAGUCGUGUCCUUUCAGUGAAAUGGGAAACGACGUCGUUUUUGGAAUCUUUAUUUUUGCAAGUUCAAUUGGUCGUGUAGGAAGAUUAUCAAAGAGUAUUAAUUUAUUGGUCUAACGAACGAACCGAAACCGAAAAAUACCGGACCAGAUAAACCUAAGAGCACCAUAACCAUUAACCCAAAUACACUCAAUUAGGGGUACUUAAUUCUUUUUUUUUUUAAUAAUUUUAAGUUGCAAAAGUGAUUAAGCACCGAAGCUUGGACAGCUUAAUUAAGCACUGGCGCUUCUAUCUUUUGUCUAUUUUCUCUUUUUUUUUUUAAUUCCAAAAUCACUAAGCACCCCCCCCCCUAAGCUACUGCAUUAAUGAUGCUCUAAGUAGCCGAAACCGUAAGACUAGUUUCACUACUUACAUUAGAUGGGAAAAAUAUUCAGGAAAACGCUCCGAAAAAUAGUAAUGUACUUGUCUACUCAUCCAAGAGUGAAAGAAAGUGUAUUAUGCUGGCCACCAUCUUCACUUCUAUCAGGUACUAAAAAGGCAUCUAACUGAUAUACUAAUAGAAAAUAGAUAGUUAAAUUUCUCAAAAAUGCAGGCACAAGAUCAGUUCUUAGCUUUAUGACAGGAUCGGUCGCGCUGUCCAAGCAUCUUGUAGAAACCAUCAAGUAUUUCAGCAUAGCUGUCAGUUUUGGUGAGUCAAAAUUCUUUUGAAGAAGCUGUAAAUAGUAUUUGGGAUAGUUUUGGAUUCUGAUGUCAUCCACUUCCUUCUCUUUUGUUAGGAAGUGUUAAGUCACUUAUAAGCAUGCCAUGCUUCAUGUCACAUGCAAGCAUACCUGCAGUUGUACGCGAGGCCAGAGGCUUGACAGAAGAUCUUGUUCAUAUAUCUGCAGGCAUUGAAGAUCUGAUGAUUCGAUCUCUUAUCUUGAUAUCGCCUUAAAACCCGGUCCGAAAGAAGCACUGUUUAUUUUCAUAGGUUCUUUUUUUUUUUAAUUCCAAAAUCACUAAGCACCCCCCCCCCUAAGCUACUGCAUUAAUGAUGCUCUAAGUAGCCGAAACCGUAAGACUAGUUUCACUACUUACAUUAGAUGGGAAAAAUAUUCAGGAAAACGCUCCGAAAAAUAGUAAUGUACUUGUCUACUCAUCCAAGAGUAAAAGAAAGUGUAUUAUGCUGGCCACCAUCUUCACUUCUAUCAGGUACUAAAAAGGCAUCUAACUGAUAUACUAAUAGAAAAUAGAUAGUUAAAUUUCUCAAAAAUGCAGGCACAAGAUCAGUUCUUAGCUUUAUGACAGGAUCGGUCGCGCUGUCCAAGCAUCUUUUAGAAACCAUCAAGUAUUUCAGCAUAGCUGUCAGUUUUGGUGAGUCAAAAUUCUUUUGAAGAAGCUGUAAAUAGUAUUUGGGAUAGUUUUGGAUUCUGAUGUCAUCCACUUCCUUCUCUUUUGUUAGGAAGUGUUAAGUCACUUAUAAGCAUGCCAUGCUUCAUGUCACAUGCAAGCAUACCUGCAGUUGUACGCGAGGCCAGAGGCUUGACAGAAGAUCUUGUUCAUAUAUCUGCAGGCAUUGAAGAUCUGAUGAUUCGAUCUCUUAUCUUGAUAUCGCCUUAAAACCCGGUCCGAAAGAAGCACUGUUUAUUUUCAUAGGUUCUUGAACUGAAAAAUCUAUGCAAGUAAACCAUAAAACAUAGUUUGGUGGUGGAGGAGAACACAUCAAGCAAAUAAACUUGUUAUUGUUGGAUUCGUUGUUAAAUCUGUAUUCCAGCUUGUAAUAGACUUCAAAGCCAACAUAAGCAGAGGAAACAUGAUUACUAUGCAAGCACUGAUCUUUCUUCAAAGUAAAAUACAACUCUCAACAAGAUGCUUGUUCUGUGAAGAGAGAAUAGAGAGGGCCCAUUGAGCAACUUGUCCUUAAAUUCUGUUUCAGGUUAGGUAAGAACAAGUACAUGGAACAAACCAUGACACAUCUGCACCAGAAUAUACCAGAUCUGUACUUAUUUGUUCACUAGUACAGGUACUUGUCUAUACAUGACAAAAGCAACACUGUAAAUUGAAUUGAAAACUAAAGUUUCCAAAUAAAGCGACAGAUCUACAGAUCCUUCAUAAUACCAUUUUCAGAAAGACAAGUUGAGUUUCUUUAAAGCAAAACUAAAAAGAGGAGUGAACAAAACUGAGACUGGGUUAUUCACCAUUGAAGAUUUACUGAUGUACAUAUAAACAUCAUCCCCAUACAUCAAUCAUCAUCCAUCUAUAAUCCCCCUCUGCAUUCCCUACUGAAAUCAUGUAUUGUACCAGCAGAAGCAUUCCUACAAAACUCUAAAAUCAAGAUACCGAAAAAAGAAGCAUCAUGGCGAUAGAAUCAGACAGCGGU